rnacentral:ribozyme from 1 species
AUAAUGCCGGUCUGUGAAGAUAGGCAUUAUUAUUAUAAAUAAUGUCCUCAGGAAAUGACAAACAUGUGGGGCGUAAGCAAUAUUUACAUUCUAUAAAGAAAAAGUGGAUUGUAAUGCUUUAUAGAAUGCGUAUCCAUAAUAUUGUAAUCGUGCGGACGUUAAAAUCAUGU